CACAUAAUUACUGUACAGAACACUGUAAGCAAUUAUGACACACUGAGAAGUAUUUGGUAUUUAAACAUAGAAAAGAGACAACAAAUAUAUGGUAUGAAAGAUUAAAAAUAAAAACAAACAGCACAUCUGUAUAGGGCAUUUGCCAAGAAUGGAGCUUGCAGAAUUGGAAGUUGAUCUGGAUGAUUUGCCCCAAAGGAGAUUGAAUCCAAACAAGUCACAGGGCAGCAGGAGAGAUGAAGAAUGCUCAUGAAGAAAGAACUGACCCCCCAUUGGACUUUCUCAUAAACUGAUGACUCACUCCUGUUGCAAACAUUGGCUUCACUGAGAGUGCACAUUCUGCUGUCUCUAUAGCUUUGCCAAAAGUGGCCACAAUGGAUUGGCAAUAUCUUUAUUUGCUGAGAAGCAAUACUUUUGAUAGUUUACAAGGUGGCUAUAUCUAAUAGAGUCAUAAACAUCUAGGGUCAAAAUUGAUUUUAGUAAAUACCAAAUUGGAAAAAAAAAAGACAACAGAUUUUUUUUCUUUGGCCUUUUAAAACUCUCGUUUAACCAUAUAUCUUUUCAAGACACCAUUUCUUAAAUGGCUAAUGUAUUUGGCUGACAAAGCCAAAUAUAGUUCUAUAAAUAGCAUUAUUAAUGAUGAGGAAGUGGAGAUACAAUAGGAG
rnacentral:lncRNA from 1 species